ensembl:lncRNA
CAGCGCGCUAGCGUAUCAAGUGUAUGAGUAUCUAUGGUCGGCACGUCUGGUAGCAUCUCUGGCUGCUGUUGACCUUGUUUUUGGAGUAAAACACGGUGGAAGCUGAAUUAGUGAGGAUGACUCCUGCUCCUGUCAUCUCUAAGCUCCUCACACAUCUUUACCUGCACAUGAGGAAAAUCACUCCUGUAGAAUGCAGAUGUUCAGAUGGAGAUGAUGCCACAUCUGGUCCAGCUGAUGGAAGGUCUUGAAGUUCUCUGACUGGCCUCGACUGAAGAUGGUCGUCUCACUGGAUUUAAGGUUCAGAUGCUCAGUAACAAACUCCACCAAUGAGCCAACAGGGAAGCUUUAGGUUUAUUAAAUGUUGCUAUGAAGGUAUUCGCUGUUUUUCUUUGUGAAUGCAAUGAGCUCCAACUGAAAGUUGAAUUAGAACUUAGAAGUAAAUCCUUCCAUCUGAAAGGAUUUAGUUGCAUUAAUAACCUCAUAACAUUCUAAUUUUCAUUCCAGUCUUGGUUGAAAAUAUAAUCUCUGUAUUGAUUCAGGUAAAAACUGAACUUCACAGCAUGUUGGAGCAAAACAACCAGAUGAAAACUGUGAUGGUGUUGGAUUGUCAGACCGUAAUGUUGCAGCUCAAAGCAGCUUUUCUAGCUCAGUUCAUUCUGACAUUCAGCUAUGAAUCAACACAGCAGAUGGUGAUCCAUGCUGUGGAAGUCUCACAUCUCCUGAUUUAAUGGAGCUGCUUUGCACUUUUUACACUGUUUAUUCACCAACACUUUAUUUAAUAAAGGUCCCAUCUAGUUUUUAUGAGGAAUGUGAUGUUUUAAUUUCUCUGUGAAUAACUGCAGUCUAAUGGAACAGCUGGAGUUGUAACAUCUGUCCUGAUAUUGAUCAUGAAGUAUUGAUCAGAAUACUUAUGGUCAGCAGUCAUCCCUGAAGUUUUACAUUAAAAUCUUUACUUGUGUUGUGAACUUUGGUAAGAAGCAGAAACUUUUGCGUUGCCAUGGAUACAUGAGUGUUAAAUUCUGUCCAUGUUUCCAUUUUGGGAAAUUCAGUCCAGUUCCAGAAUGUGGAGGAAUUUAGUCUCACAAUCACAGACAACAAAUAUUAUCUGAAAGUGGGGUUAUUGUUGUUUAUCAGCACAAUACAAAAAGAUUAAUGU